UGUAGUCUGCAACCCGACUACAUGAAGCUGGAAUCGCUAGUAAUCGCGGAUCAGCACGCCGCGGUGAAUACGUUCCCGGGCCUUGUACACACCGCCCGUCACACCAUGGAAGUCUGCAAUGCCCGAAGCCGGUGGCCUAACCACUUAUGUGGAAGGAGCCGUCUAAGGCAGGGCAGAUGACUGGGGGUGAAGUCGUAACAAGGUAGC
rnacentral:rRNA from 1 species